rnacentral:rRNA from 1 species
ACGAACGCUGGCGGCGUGCUUAACACAUGCAAGUCGAACGGAAAGGCCCUGCUUUUGUGGGGUGCUCGAGUGGCGAACGGGUGAGUAACACGUGAGUAACCUGCCCUUGACUUUGGGAUAACUUCAGGAAACUGGGGCUAAUACCGGAUAGGAGCUCCUGCUGCAUGGUGGGGGUUGGAAAGUUUCGGCGGUUGGGGAUGGACUCGCGGCUUAUCAGCUUGAUGGUGGGGUAGUGGCUUACCAAGGCUUUGACGGGUAGCCGGCCUGGGAGGGUGACCGGCCACAUUGGGACUGAGAUACGGCCCAGACUCCUACGGGAGGCAGCAGUGGGGAAUAUUGCACAAUGGGCGGAAGCCUGAUGCAGCAACGCCGCGUGCGGGAUGACGGCCUUCGGGUUGUAAACCGCUUUCGCCUGUGACGAAGCGUGAGUGACGGUAAUGGGUAAAGAAGCACCGGCUAACUACGUG